AAAAUGAUAUUUAAAUUCAAGUAACUAUAAUGCAAUGAAAAGCUGCUGCAUCUAAUAAAUUAUUCAAGUUCUUUUGUUAGUUCAAUUAUCGCCAAGGUAAAAAGGGAAACUAAUUUGUCCGAGUAAGGCAACCAUAAGACAUUCUCAUGUUGAAAGUUGGGGAAAGGAAAUAAUUAUUUUUGUUAGCUUUAUUUCAAAAUGCCAAUCAUUUCGAGUACUAACAAAUUCCCUGCAAUAGUUGUUAUCGAUAAGAGUUACGAAAGAUAAAUUUAUGUUUUAAAGCUGUGCAGUGCAUAGAAUAAGAAAUCAAAUACUUAACAGUUUUUAAAACCUAUUAAUACAAUGCAUUUUUUCGUGAUGUUAGUAUUUUUUCAAAAUUCGCAAUGAUUUCGCUUUUAUUUGGUGCAAAGUGGAAAGGUAUCAGUCAUUCGAAACGCAAGAUUAAAAAGUAGUGGAAUGCAUAUUUAAACAAAGACAUGCUCAUUCAGCAGAAAGGAAUUUUCCUGUCCUAUAUACAGUUAACAGGAUGAGAAGGAAUUUUGUUCUGAAGAAAAGAAGGUAAUAGAUGAGGAAUCUGAGAAUUCAGAAAAUGAACAGAAAGUUCAUGUUAGUUAGGAAGAAAGAAAAAGAAGAGGAAAAAAAAGAGGGCAUUUUAUUUGUUGAGCUUCAGAUUCCCCUCUUUGACAUUUUUCUGAUAAUUCGCGAUCUUUGUUGUCCGCGGAUAAUCGGGGUUCAACUGUAUCACAAUGAUUCGUUUGUCAUACAA